rnacentral:lncRNA from 1 species
GCUUCCUUCUCAGUAAAGACCCCACGGGAGGUCAGUCUGCCCCUUUCUGUAGCACAGCACCACACAGGUAUCUAGGGUUACAGGUAGGAGGUUCCCAGAAAGUGGAUGGCUGAGGCAGAAGCCUUCAGAUAUCCUGUUAGCUAGGGCGGGUUGCUUUGUUCUGUGGUCUCCUAUUUGUUCUCAUUCAACACAAAAGAGGGAGGCCUCACUCAGACACCCAGAAACCCUCUGGCUUCUAUCUAGUGACCUCAGCAGAACCUAAGGUCUUUGCAGGUCACUACUGGCUCUCAGCAUUCAUUUAAACAACAACAACAACAAACAAACAAAACUAAGAUAGCAGAAAUGGUACCUCAGGAAGGUCUUUUAGGAGCUGGGCCUGGAAGUAGUCUGAGUCAUCUCUGCCCACAUUCUUGGUCCAGAAUUAGUCAUAUGAACCUACUUGGUUGUAAGGGGCUCAGGGAGUUAUGGCUUUAUUGGAUGCCUGAACACACACACACACAUACACACACACACACACACACACACACGUGCGCGCACACACACAUACACACAGGGUAAGCACAUAAAUAUAAAUUUAAAUUAAGUAAUAGCUUACUUAUUAGUACUUUAAGAAACCUGAGGGUAGCUGGGUGUAGUAGCACACACUUUUAAUCCCAGCACUGAUCUACAUAGUGAGUUCCAGGUCAGCCAAGGCUACAUAGUGAGACCCUGUCUUGAAAAAAGAAAGAGAAAGAGAGAAGGGGUGGGGGCAGGGGGAAUUCAGUCUACAUCAUACCUGGGAGACUUUCAAAUCAACAUGGUUCCUGGCCAUAGUCCCUUGCUAUUGACUCUGCAGCCUCUUUAUUUUCUAUCAUGUUUUAUUUGCAGUUCCAGAGUAGGCUGCCAGGAUUGUAAUGGGUGAGGCUCCAUCCUGGUGAUGCUGUCUACCCUUCCCUUGAACACAGAAGCUGGCAGAGAAAAUAGCCAGAGAACUUCCUAUCAGCACCAAGAGUGACACCCAAGGAGGUGCCCAAGAAGGGAAGACUUUGGGGGUGAUUGUGUUCUGCCAGCUAGCAAAGUUACUAGAUCCCCCUCACACGCUUAGAUGGCUCAGGUCUAAGGAGAUCACCAAUCUUCGAUCACAGAGUCCUUUUGUGGUUUUUUUGUUGUUGUUGUCAGUUUGGGUUUUUUUUGUUUUGUUUUGUUUUGUUUUGUUUUGCCCUGAGACAUACUAUGUACGUGACUUCUCUUGAAAUACGU